UAGCGUUACUUGGCAGCCCGCUCUAGAGGUCCUGGUGGCCUCUGCUCGCAGCUCAUCCCGAAAGCACCUUUGGAGAGCCGCAUUCAGCCCACAGGAAUCCUCGCCUAACACCGAUCUGCCAUCAGCUGCCAGCACAGAGCUCUGUUCUGGGCUGAAGGAGCCCCCGGCCCUACGCGUGACGCCGAGCAGCCCCUGAAGGCGCCGCGUCCGCACGGCCGCGCCCACCGACACACACAGAGCGGUGGAUUGGGGCACCGCCGGGUCAACCGGAGACAAAGGGCCCUUCCCGGACACCUGCAGGCAUCUCCACCAUUAAACACAAAGCACGAGGUGUAGGCACUGCGGGACCUUAUUCCUAUCGCAUAAACGGGCUCCAAAGCACAACGAAGAUGGAGCAGAGAAGGCACAACGACCCCAGAUUCAGAAGAUCUGCUGAAGCCCCGACCUACUGAAGCUUCCUACAGCUCCACUUCUCCUCCCCCAUCUUAAAAUGAGGGGAAUAACCAGCGCCUACCUUGCAGGUUGCUUUCUUCUGUCAGUGACACAACACUAUUUCCUUGAUUAGCGUUGUUCCAAACAGCCAGUAAAAUACCCUUCCCAGCACAGGCUUCCCCAAUACACUACGGUUCCAGAAUGAGUGACAGAGUUAAACAGCUUGCAGUCUAGAAAACCACUCAUGACAAGAGAUUCAGAACAUAAACUGCACCCCUGUAUUUCUCAGAUGAAAUAAAAAUCAGCUUGCAAUUAAAACUAAAAUGGGACAAGAGGUGUGAUACAAACCAGAGUGUUUUGGUGCUACCUGUCUUGGAUCCCUCUCGGUCACUGCAUUCAGCGACAUUCAUGGACAGCGUUUCAAGGAGCUAACGUUAAAAAACAAACAUACCCCACUACUCUACAGGCUGAGGAACAUACCACAGCAAUAAGAGCAUCUGUACAAGACGUAGGGAAAAGGGACAAACAGCUGACCGUAAAUUCCCAGACUGCCUAUGUUUCUGGGUCUGAACUUUUAAAAGGACACUGGAAAAUUGGAGACGGUGCAGAGAAGAGCCAUAAAAAUUAUUUCAGAACUGGAAUAACUGCCUCAGAAUGAGAGACUUAAGGAGCUCAAUCUGUUUAGUUUAUUAAAAAGAUCAAGAGAUGGCUUGAUUACGAUGUAUAAGUACCUUCAAAGGGAGAAAAUACCAGGUCCUAAAGGGCUCUUUAAUCUAGCUGAGAAAGGCAUAACAAGAACCAAUUGCUAGAAGCUGAAGCCAGACCAGUUUAAAUUAGAAAUAAGGCACAGAGUUUUAUAGUGAGAAUGAUUAGAUAUUAAAAAAGCUAUCCUAUCAAAGGAAGGUGGAUUCUUCAUCUUUUAAUAUCUUCAAAUCAAGACAGGAUGCCUUUCAGUAAAGUAAACUUGAGUUAAAAAAAAAAGUGUGUGUGUGUGGGGGGCUUAAUACAAGGGUAAUUGAAUGGUAUUUAAUGACUUAUCACAGGUAAGGAAAGCCCUAACAUCUUAAUUUGGAAUGAAAGCUUGAAAUUUGGCAGCAUAUAGCUUUGGCAACAGGUAUGCUCCACUUGCACUGUGUGAGAAAAGCUGCCUACAUCUGGCUACGUUAUCAGCCUCAGAGAAACAUCAGAUUACAUAUGCCAAUCAGAGAUUUGAUAGUUUAAAAAUUGAAAUCACUUCUCAUUAUUCAGUACAUUCCAUCUCCUAUAAGGCCACGUGCUGACCAGACCCGUGGCAAUGUCACUCUAAACAAAUCUGUUGAAGCUCACAGCCAGAAGCAUGAAGCCAUACUUCUGGCUUGUGAAUUAACGUUCUGCAUGAUCAAACAGAAUUUGGCUGCAGCUGCCAUCUAUGGCUGAAAACACAGCACCAGCCGUGGGAUGGAAGCGCUGCCUGCGUUUUGUCCCCUUUGCUGGAGCUGGGUGUUCCAGGACUCCCAGUUGCCCAAACAGUCAGGCCAGUUCUGAGACUGAGCUGCUUGUGAGCAGCAUUACCUUCUUUGCAGAAGCGGAGCACAAACAGUAAAUUGGUUUUUGGACUUAAAGCUUCCAACCAGCCAUCUUCCCAAGAAUGCUUAUUGUUACCCUUGACUGGGCAUGCACGUUGCUACAGCAGCCUAAAACGUUUAACCCAUCCUAGUGUAAACCAGCAACGUAUCUAGAUAUUCUGUGCCAUCUAUGGAGGACAACACAUGCAUUUGCCCAGACCUGCCUCAUCCAGCUCACCCUGGAGGGCAGUCAGGAACAUCCCUGAGUCUCUGAUGUAGUUUGGGAGACCUUAAAAAAGUAACCUGCCAUCUCACCCCAGACCUAAGCUGAGAAAGCCAAUCAAAAGUGAGAUCUGUCACAGCAGAUUGUGUGUCUCUGAACACCUGGGCCAAGAUGGGACUUCAGUAGGUAGCAGUGCAAGAGAUAAGGUGGCCUGCUUGAGAACGGUCCACGGAGAUCUUCUAAGGAUCCAAGUUAUAGAGAGGAAAUAUUGAUAAGAAGACAUCCACACUUUGUGAUGGAAAUAGAGUGAGAUUAUCAAAUUCUUUUGUUUCACAUCACUUAGUCACAGGACCUGUGGAAGCUCUAGAUCACCUCAACUGUAUGUAUAAUUGCACUGCAAAAGUCAACAGGAAUUUAAAGUCCUUAUCAAAUAAUUGUUGUAUUUCACCUAUUCUCAGUGUCAUAAAAGGAUGCUGGACUGGGCACUGCCAGAAAGUUUUGAGGCUCACAACUUUCUGUUUACUUGGGCUGCAUUUGGAAGCACUGUUUGGCAUGAGAUACUAAGAUAAGACAACUGUAACUUCUCCAGAACACCCAGAGACACCACGGAGAAAAUAAGCACCAUUACAGACAGAAGGGAAGGGAAGUUAUGACCACUGCAGCAUGAAGGAGCAGUACCAGUGCUCUUACUGUGUCAAGGCACAUACUGUUCCAGGCUUAUCUCCUCGUGGUGAUGAAACUCCUUUGAGAAUCAUGGAAGAGUCACCUCCAUGAAUGGUAAAUUCUUUUCCGGUAGCAGUGAGUGCAGGGAUCUGGGAAAAUGCAUCUGUAGCCAUGUUCUCUGAUAAAAUCUAAAUAAAGCCUGCUGUCGUGACAAUACUACUGACCCAAGAGCUGUGGUGAAGCCAGUUGUGGAGAGAGAGGCUCAAUAAAUACUCAGUUCUUUUGUGCUGAGCACGAUAUAAGAUAUGGAGCCGAGCCAAAGAAACACUUGGUGCUAGAUGCCAAACCAUCAGUCUGUUUCAGCUCUGGCAGCAACUGACUCCUGAAAGCAAGUUGCUGAAGGUGAAAAAGAAUGGGACUGGUUCCAAGUCUCCCACUUAGGCUUUAUCACUAGACAACCAGAGCCAGAGUUUUCUGAAGCUGUGCCAGGCACCCAGACUCAACACUUGGGCUUCUGAAGAAAGACUCAGAACCUGGGAGGCCUCUGAGAAAGUAACUGGGGACUAGAAGGUAAAAUAGUGUCAAGAUCUUCCAGCCCCGAUUUCUCCUCAGGUUGGUUCUGGGGACACUGACUGGGUGGAGAAGCAGAUGCCUGCAGAACUUGUGAAGUUUUGUGAAGUCUCAUUGCCACAGGAUUCACAGAAAACUUCAGCUGAGAACUUUGUGGUUAAGGUAACAAAGGCACACCCACUGAGGAACUCAGGGACCGUACAUCUGAAUUCUCACACCAAGACAGAACCUGGGUGUUAAUGGAGUCAAGAGAAAACUAAGAUAAAUUUUCACCAUAUUCUGAAACAUUAGGCAUGUUACAGUCUCCUUUUCAGGGCUAAUCUGUUCUACAUGUUCUAAUGCAAUUUCAUUUGACUCAGUGAAUGGACUUCUCACCAUUUACUUUAUACUCCUACCACGGUUUGCCUAGUAAGUCCCAGUAAUGGAGGACAUUACCUGAUACCUAAGAUACAUUUUUCUUCUUGUACCAUGAUCACAGUACAUUUUAUUUGCAUUAUUUAGGCCUUGUCCCAAACAACUCGUCUCCAUGGUUUCUGUUUAUGCUCUUCAAAUGCUUGUGGACAAGUGUAACACUCCUCAUUUAUUUUGCCAAGAUAAACUUAUCUAAUUAUUUCCAUAUUUCUUCAUAAAUCAUUACUUCCAGCCCUUAAAAGCAUCUUCACUCAGAAAAAAUGAUUCUAGAAAUGAUACUGCAGGGUUCCAUUUUUACUAAUCUCACAGCAACCACUCCAUCAUUUUUUCCAACUGUGCUUUGUAUUGCCUUUUUUUUUUGGUGUUAACCUGUAGACUCGAAUAUUCUCCCCACAUGGCUGCUGAGAUUUGUAGUUAUCAACCUUACACGUUUUCUUUCCUCACAUUGCUCAGCCCUACCUGAAUUCACUUUUGGAUUGUCGUCUUGAAUGCAAGGAUUAAUACCAUUUAUGCUUUGUGGGUACAUUUACAAAAUCAUUUUAGUAUCUCACCCAAUUUAGAUUACUGGUUGACUCUUUCCUGGUUUUGUUCACUCUUUCCGUUCCCUUUCCCCACUCAAAUAAUAUAAGCCAUUUCUUCUUUCUUUUUGGUUCUCUGAAGAAUUUACUUAGUUUUUUGUUGGUUUUUGUUUUUAAUUAGCGUCCCUCUCCUCUACACUGUAAAUAAUCCUGAGUAUUCUGAUUUUUGCCCUAAUUCCUGGUGUUGCAAGUAAACAUCCCUUUGUACCAAAUCUUGGAGCUACAUCAACCACUUCUCCUGUCCUACAUCCCCCUCACCACAAUAAGGAUUACUCAGUUGCUCAAUCAAAUGCAGAGAAGAGAAACAAAACUGGUAAAGAGACUAUAAAACAAGAUCUAUGAAGAGUGACUAAGGGAACUGUUCUUAGUCUGGAAAAGAAAAGGAUGAAGGCCAGAGCCCAUUGCUCUGUAUGACUACCUGAAGGGAGGCUGCAGGGAGGUGGGUGUCAAUCUCUUUUCUCACCUGGUAAGCAAUAGGAAACAAUGGAACUGUCUCACAUUCUACCAGGGUGCACUUAUUUAGAAAGAAUUUAUUCACAGAGAAAACAGUCAAACAU